AUUGAACGCUGGCGGAAUGCUUUACACAUGCAAGUCGAACGGCAGCACGGGGGCAACCCUGGUGGCGAGUGGCGAACGGGUGAGUAAUACAUCGGAACGUGCCCAGUCGUGGGGGAUAACGUAGCGAAAGUUACGCUAAUACCGCAUACGAUCUACGGAUGAAAGCGGGGGACCGUAAGGCCUCGCGCGAUUGGAGCGGCCGAUGUCAGAUUAGGUAGUUGGUGAAGUAAAGGCUCACCAAGCCGACGAUCUGUAGCUGGUCUGAGAGGACGACCGGCCACCCUGGGACUGCGACACGGCCCAGACUCCUACGGGGGGCAGCAGUGGGGAAUUUUGGACAAUGGGCGCAAGCCUGAUCCAGCCAUUCCGCGUGCAGGACGAAGGCCUUCGGGUUGUAAACUGCUUUUGUACGGAACGAAAAGGCUCUGGUUAAUACCUGGGGCUCAUGACGGUACCGUAAGAAUAAGCACCGGCUAACUACGUGCCAGCCGCCGCGGUAA
rnacentral:rRNA from 1 species